AACUUGAGUUUGUGGUGUUUUUGAACUUGAAUUUGUUGUGUUUGAACUUGAGUUUGUGGUGUUUGUUGAAUUUGAGUUUGUGUCGUAUUACAACUUGAUUUUGUGGUGUUUUUGAACUUGAGUUUGUGGUUUUUGUUUGAACUUGAUUUUGUGUGUUUGUUAAACUUGAGUUUGUGUGUUUUUUUAACUUGAGUUGGUGGUGUUUUUGAACUUGAGUUUCGUGUUUGAACCAGAGUUUGUGGUUUUUGUUAAGUUUGAGUUUGUGUCAUGUUUUAACUUGAGUUUGUGGUCUUCUUGAAAUUGAGUUUGUGUUAUUUUUGAAGUUGAGGAUUUGGAAUUUGUUGUACUCAAGGUUGUGGAAAUUGUUAAACUUGAGUUUGUGUGUUAUUUGAACUCUAGUGUGUGUCGUAUUUGAAC